GUUAGUGUCCCUUUGGGCUUGGAGGUGAGAGGGUGGGUGUUGCUAUCUGUUGCUGGUGACGGCUCUCUCAUAAACCUCGCUAUUUGCUUCGUUUUCUUCGUAGUGAGACGAGUAACACGGCCGCCAAUCCAACCUCUUCCCCGACAUAGACGAAGAAGAACAAGAAACAAAGAAUAAGAAGAAGAAACAAAAAAAGAAAGCAGAACUGGAAAUAAUUUAAGGAUAAUAAUUCUAUCAACAACCCCUUUUCUCUUCCCCAUUCCUCUUGUCCUCCUCCUCCUCCUCUUCGUUCUUCUCCUCCUCCUCCUCCUCUCUCUUCCAUCAC